GUAGAGUUGGGUGGUAUUAAAAAGUUCUGAAGUGACAGAUGGAGUGUCCCAAGUUGGCACUGGAAAAGUAUAUCUAUAAGCUGGAAGAAGUUGUAGUUCUGAUUUUGAGUAACUACGAAGAGGUGGCCAGCAGUUCUAUCAGGACAGACAUGAGCUUUUCCCCAUAGAGAGUAGGUUGGAGAUGUAGGGAAGCAAGCAGGAACAGUUCUGUUGACCUUGAGGUAGCAGCUGAUGAGCCUUAUACAUUUGCCUUUCUCUGGUCACAGUUAUUAUGCCAAGCUACGCCAACAAGAAAUUGAGAGAGAGAGAGAGCUAGCAGAGAAGUACCGGGAUCGUGCCAAGGAACGGAGAGAUGGAGUGAACAAAGAUUAUGAAGAAACCGAGCUUAUCAGCACCACAGCUAACUAUAGGGCUGUUGGCCCCACUGCUGAGGCGUGAGUACUGAGGGAACAGGGCAUGGUUCCCUCAGCAUCCGAGAGUCAUGCAAAUACAAUGUGAACUCUUCCUCUUACUUUCCUGCCCUGGAGCCUACAAUAAGCGAUUUCAGAGGCAUUUGCCACCCACAAAGGGCUGUUCUUUUUUUUUUUUUUUUUUGAGAUGGAGUCUCGCUCUGUCACCCAGGCUGGACUGCAGUGGCACGAUCUUGGCUCAUGGCAAGCUCCGCCUCCCAGGUUCAUGCCAUUCUCCUGCCUCAGCCUCCCGAGUAGCUGGGACUACAGGCGCCCGCCACCACGCCCGGCUAAUUUUUUGUAUUUUUAGUAGAGACAGGGUUUCACCGUGUUAGCCAGGCUGGUCUCGAUCUGACCUCAUGAUCCACCCGCCUCGGCCUGCUGAAGUGCUGGGAUUACAGGCGUGAGCCACCGCACCUGGCCCCCCAACCCCCUUUCCCCCACCCCCUUUUUUUUUUUUUGGAGACAGAGUCUUGCUCUUGUUGCCCAGGCUGGAGUGCAGUAGCGCGAUCUCAGCUCACUGCAGCCUCCGCCUCCCAUGUUCAGGCGAUUCUCUUGCCUCAGCCUCCCGAGUAGCUGGGACUACAGGCGCCCACCACCAUGCCCAGCUAAUUUUUGUAUUUUUAGUAGAGAUGGGGUUUCACCAUAUCCACCAGGCUGGUCUCAAACUCCUGACCUUGUGAUCUGUCCGCCUUGACCUCCCAGAGUACUGGGAUUACAGGCGUGAUCCACCACGCCUGGACAGUACUGUUCUUAUGUGGCCUCUUUCAUUAUACAGGGACAAAUCAGCUGCAGAGAAGAGAAGACAGUUGAUCCAGGAGUCCAAAUUCUUGGGUGGUGACAUGGAACACACCCAUUUGGUGAAAGGCUUGGAUUUUGCUCUGCUUCAAA
rnacentral:lncRNA from 10 species